rnacentral:tmRNA from 1 species
ACCUAUUGGACCCGGGGGCGGUACCCGGCGCCUCCACCAAAGUAUAAUCUCUGUUGAUCAUAUUUUGGUGGGGGCGAAAUAGGAUCGACAAAGGCGUAAAGAUCGCUCUUUUACUCGGCAUUGUACCACCGUUAUCGGACUAAAUGAGUAGUUGCAAAUGACAACUAUGCGGAAGCACGUCUCGCCGCUUAAGGUGGUGUGAAUGUUUCAAAUCUAGCCUUAAACCGUCGCAGGUUUAAGCGGGGUUCGGAGG